rnacentral:rRNA from 15 species
CACUGUUUGGGUGAGGGGUCCAUCCCGGAUUACCAAUCUCAGAUAAACUCCGAAUGCCAAUGAAUUAUGGUCGGCAGUCAGACUGCGAGUGCUAAGAUCCGUAGUCGAAAGGGAAACAGCCCAGACCACCAGCUAAGGCCCCCAAAUUGUCACUAAGUGAUAAAGGAGGUGGGAGUGCAAAGACAACCAGGAGGUUUGCCUAGAAGCAGCCAUCCUUAAAAGAGUGCGUAAUAGCUCACUGGUCAAGCGCUCCUGCGCCGAAAAUGAACGGGGCUAAGUGACAUGCCGAAGCUGUGGGAUAUGCAAAUAUCGGUAGGGGAGCGUUCCGUUGUAGAGUGAAGCACUAGCGGCAAGCAGGUGUGGACGAAGCGGAAGUGAGAAUGUCGGCUUGAGUAGCGAAAACAUUGGUGAGAAUCC